rnacentral:ncRNA from 1 species
GUGUUGUAUGAAGGGAGAGAAGGUUAGCACUCCCCUUGAUAAGGAUGGAAGAGGCUCUUGGGGCUGACAACACGCAUAUGAUUAAGGCACUGCCACCUACUUCAUGGCAUCUAACCACUGUUUUUU